CGGAAUUCCACGUUUAAUCGGCGUGAAAAUGCGUUAUAUAAUUUUGGAUGGAACUACCAAGUUGGCGAAGGGCGGCUUUUCAUGGUUCUGUAACUGACGUCUGAGGCGUCUGUAUAAAGGCUGUGUGGUGAUCCAUAACAAGGAUUUAUGAUAACCCCGUGUGUAGUCCACUGCCGUAAGACGAUGAGUGCUAAGUGUUAGAGGGUUUCCGCCCUUUUAGUGCUGCAGCUAACUGCAUUAUAGCANUCCGCUUGGGGAGUACGGCCGCAUAGGCUGAAACUCAAAGGAAUUGACGGGGGCCCUGCACAAGCGGUGGAGCAUGUGGUUUAAUUCGAAGCAACGCGAAGAACCUUACCAGGUCUUGACAUCCUCUGACACUCCUAGAGAUAGGAUUUUCCCCUUCGGGGGACAGAGUGACAGGUGGUGCAUGGUUGUCGUCAGCUCGUGUCGUGAGAUGUUGGGUUAAGUCCCGCAACGAGCUGCAACCCUUGAUCUUAGUUGCCAGCAUUCAGUUGGGCACUCUAAGGUGUACUGCCGGUGACAAACCGGAGGAAGGUGGGGAUGACGUCAAAUCAUCAUGCCCCUUAUGACCUGGGCUACACACGUGCUACAAUGUGAUGGUACAAAGGGCAGCGAAACCGUCGAGGUGGAGCCAAUCCCAUAUAAACCAUUCUCAGUUCGGAUUGCAGGCUGUCAACUCGCCUUGCAUGAAGCCUGGUAUCGUAUAGAAAUGCAGAGAUCGAGCAC
rnacentral:rRNA from 1 species